rnacentral:lncRNA from 1 species
AAGCAGAGAGCUUUGUGUUGACUGAUCACUGCAGCCUGUGUGUGUUUAUAGGACAUGCUUGGCUGCAGAUGAGCGGCAGUAAAUCCUCCCCACUUCUGAGUGAAUAGAAAUUAAGUCGUGUCAAUUGCGUGCUGAGUGACUGGAUGUGUUGGUGUGUUGACUCCUCCACCUCUCCACCAGCAGAGGGAGCUAGGUCACAGGUAAUCCUGCCUGAAGUCUCGGCCCUCACCUCUGUGUCGCUCAGGAAUUCCAACCAGCUCCCAACGUUGCUCCUCUUUUUUUUUCACCCAUCACUUCAUAUCGAAAUCCGAGUCUGGUGCAGAGCCGGACCUCCUGGAGGGAUAAACACCCAGAGUGAAAUCAGAUUCUGCUCUGAUCUUAUUGACCUUCACUCCCAUUAAUUAACCUGACUGCAGCAGCGAUCUGCAGCGGUGACACCAUUCCGAGGAGGGGGGUAAAAGAAGGGAGAGAACCUGGUGAGUGCUGAGUUCAGUGACACACAGGUACACACCCUGCCAGCUUCACCCAACAUGAAUUGGCCGUCAGGGGUCGCGAACACCAUUAAAAACUACCGCCACUGAUGAAAAUCUAUCAGAUGUGACUCAGACGAAGAGAUAACGUUUUAUUCACACUGACCUGCCUGACCUGAAAAGCUGACUAAAUUUACCACUCUUCUGCAGCAGCUUCCUGUUGACGGGAAGUCCCGACGAGUCGAUUACCGAGUGCAGUAGAGUUCCGCGGCUCAUGGAUGAAAAUGUAUGAUUAUGACUCCAUGGAAAAGCAAUCAAAGUUCAUAUGUGUCUUACCUGCCAGUUUAUAACAGUUAUUAUCGAGAGCGGACAGGGAAAAGAACGGAAUUGAGCAUUUCUAACCGCACUCGGUAAUCGUCACGUCGGGACUUCCCCGACCCGGAAGCUGAUGGAGGAGAGUUGAACUC